CCUACGGGCGGCUGCAGUGGGGAAUAUUGCACAAUGGGCGCAAGCCUGAUGCAGCCAUGCCACGUGUGUGAAGAAGGCCUUCGGGUUGUAAAGCACUUUCAGCGGGGAGGAAGGCGGUGAGGUUAAUAGCCUCAUCGAUUGACGUUACCCGCAGAAGAAGCACCGGCUAACUCCGUGCCAGCAGCCGCAGUAAUACGGAGGGUGCAAGCGUUAAUCGGAAUUACUGGGCGUAAAGCGCACGCAGACGGUCUGUCAAGUCGGACGUGAAAUCCCCGGGCUCAACCUGGGAACUGCAUUCGAAACUGGCAGGCUAGAGUCUUGUAGAGGGGGGUAGAAUUCCAGGUGUAGCGGUGAAAUGCGUAGAGAUCUGGGGGAAUACCGGUGGCGAAGGCGGCCCCCUGGACAAAGACUGACGCUCAGGUGCGAAAGCGUGGGGAGCAAACAGGAUUAGAUACCCUUGUAGUC
rnacentral:rRNA from 1 species